GUUUUACUGGCUCAGUUGGUUAUAGCAUGGUGAUAAUAACACCAAAGUUGUGAAUUCAAUCUCCAUAUAGCCCA